rnacentral:rRNA from 1 species
GAGCCCUUCGACCCUGGCUUGAUCUUGGAAGCUAAGCAGGGUAGGGACUGGCUAGAACUUGGUAAGGGAGACUGCCUGGGAAAACCGGGCGCUCAAAAAC